rnacentral:rRNA from 1 species
ACAGGUGGUGCAUGGUUGUCGUCAGCUCGUGUCGUGAGAUGUUGGGUUAAGUCCCGCAACGAGCGCAACCCUUGAUUUUAGUUGCCAGCAUUUAGUUGGGCACUCUAAAGUGACUGCCGGUGCAAGCCGGAGGAAGGUGGGGAUGACGUCAAAUCAUCAUGCCCCUUAUGACCUGGGCUACACACGUGCUACAAUGGAUAGUACAAAGGGUCGCGAAGCCGCGAGGUGGAGCUAAUCCCAUAAAACUAUUCUCAGUUCGGAUUGUAGGCUGCAACUCGCCUACAUGAAGCCGGAAUCGCUAGUAAUCGUGGAUCAGCAUGCCACGGUGAAUACGUUCCCGGGCCUUGUACACACCGCCCGUCACACCACGAGAGUUUGUAACACCCGAAGUCGGUAGGGUAACCUUUAUGGAGCCAGCCGCCGAAGGUGGGACAGAUAAUUGGGGUGAAGUCGUAACAAGGUAGCCGUAUCGGAAGGUGCGGCUGGAUCACCUCCUUUCUAAGG